ensembl:rRNA 5S_rRNA 5S ribosomal RNA
UUCUAUGGUCAGACUUCCCUGAAUGCGCCCAAUCUUGUCUGAUCUCAGAAACUAAGCAGAGUUGUGCCUGGUACUUGGAUAGGAGAAUGAGUGACAAAGGAUGAGUGCAUGAAGU